UACGAAGGGGGCUAGCGUUGCUCGGAAUCACUGGGCGUAAAGGGUGCGUAGGCGGGUCUUUAAGUCGGGGGUGAAAUCCUGGAGCUCAACUCCAGAACUGCCUUUGAUACUGAAGAUUUUGAGUUCGGGAGAGGUGAGUGGAACUGCGAGUGUAGAGGUGAAAUUCGUAGAUAUUCGCAAGAACACCAGUGGCGAAGGCGGCUCACUGGCCCGAUACUGACGCUGAGGCACGAAAGCGUGGGGAGCAAACAGG
rnacentral:rRNA from 1 species